AUACGUAGGGGGCGAGCGUUGUCCGGAAUGAUUGGGCGUAAAGGGCGCGUAGGCGGCCCGGUAAGUCUGGAGUGAAAGUCCUGUUUUUAAGAUGGGAAUUGCUUUGGAUACUGUCGGGCUUGAGUGCAGGAGAGGUAAGUGGAAUUCCCAGUGUAGCGGUGAAAUGCGUAGAGAUUGGGAGGAACACCAGUGGCGAAGGCGACUUACUGGACUGUAACUGACGCUGAGGAGCGAAAGCGUGGGGAGCAAACAGGAUUGGAUACCCUGGUAGUCCACGCUGUAAACGAUGAAUACUAGGUGUGGGGGGACUGACCCCCUCCGUGCCGCAGUUAACACAAUAAGUAUUCCACCUGGGGAGUACGAUCGCAAGAUUGAAACUCAAAGGAAUUGACGGGG
rnacentral:rRNA from 1 species